rnacentral:rRNA from 1 species
CAGGAUGAACGCUAGCUACAGGCUUAACACAUGCAAGUCGAGGGGCAGCAUGUUGGUUGCUUGCAACCAAUGAUGGCGACCGGCGCACGGGUGAGUAACGCGUAUCCAACCUUCCCCUUAGUAGAGGAUAGCCCGGCGAAAGUCGGAUUAAUACUCUAUGUUCUUCAAUGCGGACAUCUAAGUUGAAGCAAAGAUUUAUCGCUAAGGGAUGGGGAUGCGUCUGAUUAGGUUGCAGGCGGGGUAACGGCCCACCUGGCCUACGAUCAGUAGGGGUUCUGAGAGGAAGGUCCCCCACACUGGUACUGAGACACGGACCAGACUCCUACGGGAGGCAGCAGUGAGGAAUAUUGGUCAAUGGGCGCGAGCCUGAACCAGCCAAGUAGCGUGCAGGAACCGACUGCCCUAUGGGUUGUAAACUGCUUUUAUCAGGGAAUAAAGUGAGGCACGCGUGCCUUUUUGUAUGUACCUGAUGAAUAAGGACCGGCUAAUUCCGUGCCAGCAGCCGC